AAAUGACUCUCGGCAACGGAUAUCUCGGCUCUCGCAUCGAUGAAGAACGUAGCGAAAUGCGAUACUUGGUGUGAAUUGCAGAAUCCCGUGAACCAUCGAGUCUUUGAACGCAAGUUGCGCCCGAAGCUUUUGGCCAAGGGCACGUCUGCCUGGGCGUCACGCAU
rnacentral:rRNA from 5 species